rnacentral:rRNA from 1 species
GGACGGGUGAGUAACGCGUGAGCAAUCUGCCUUUCAGAGGGGGACAACAGUUGGAAACGACUGCUAAUACCGCAUAACGUAUCGGUGCGGCAUCGCACUGAUACCAAAGAUUAUAUCGCUGAGAGAUGAGCUCGCGUCCAAUUAGCUAGAUGGUGGGGUAAUGGCUCACCAUGGCGACGAUUGGUAGCCGGACUGAGAGGUUGAACGGCCACAUUGGGACUGAGACACGGCCCAGACUCCUACGGGAGGCAGCAGUGGGGGAUAUUGCGCAAUGGGGGCAACCCUGACGCAGCAACGCCGCGUGAAGGAUGAAGGUUUUCGGAUUGUAAACUUCUUUUAUUAAGGACGAAAAUUGACGGUACUUAAUGAAUAAGCUCCGGCUAACUACGUGCCAGCAGCCGCGGUAAUACGUAGGGAGCAAGCGUUGUCCGGAUUUACUGGGUGUAAAGGGUGCGUAGGCGGCUUUGCAAGUCAGAUGUGAAAUCUAUGGGCUCAACCCAUAAACUGCAUUUGA